GCCGGGUGAGGCGGCGCACACCUGUAGUCCCAGCGGCUCGGGAGGCUGAGGCAGGAGGAUUGUGAGUUUAAAACCAGCCUCAGCAAAAGCGAGGUGCUAAGCAACUCAGCGAGACCCUGUCUCUA
rnacentral:sRNA from 1 species